AUUGAACGCUGGCGGCAUGCUUUACACAUGCAAGUCGAACGGUAACAGGCCGCAAGGUGCUGACGAGUGGCGAACGGGUGAGUAAUGCAUCGGAACGUGCCCAGUCGUGGGGGAUAACGCAGCGAAAGCUGCGCUAAUACCGCAUACGAUCUAUGGAUGAAAGCGGGGGACCGUGAGGCCUCGCGCGAUUGGAGCGGCCGAUGUCAGAUUAGGUAGUUGGUGGGGUAAAGGCUCGCCAAGCCGACGAUCUGUAGCUGGUCUGAGAGGACGACCAGCCACACUGGGACUGAGACACGGCCCAGACUCCUACGGGAGGCAGCAGUGGGGAAUUUUGGACAAUGGGCGCAAGCCUGAUCCAGCAAUGCCGCGUGCAGGAAGAGGGCCUUCGGGUUGUAAACUGCUUUUGUACGGAACGAAAAGGCUCUGGUUAAUACCUGGGGCUCAUGACGGUACCGUAAGAAUAAGCACCGGCUAACUACGUGCCAGCCGCCGCAGUAAAAC
rnacentral:rRNA from 1 species